ACCAAGGAGGAGUCAAAUGUGAAGAGAAUGGAGCUAACGCUAUGCUGGUAGUUCCGCGAUGUUCCAGUCGAAGGUCACGGCCACGUCCUCGCGCUUCUUCAUGUUAACGGAGAUGAGAAUAUCUCUCAGUUCCGUAACCUUCGAUCGAUCAUCCAAUUUCGCAUCUGAAGCCCAAGAAUUGCAAGCGAGAUCCUGGAUGAAUAGCAUGAGAAAUAUCACGGCGUUGCAUUACUUUGCCAGGCCAAAACAGAGAAGCCCCAAUGCAAUAUAGAGCCCUCUCUCUCUCUCUCUAAAAUCAGAAUGCUCAUCCUUUUAUCUCUGUCUAUGUUUCAUAUAUAUAAACCACUCACUCGACCCAGAGCUCUCUCUCUCUCUCUCUGUGACACACUCACUGAUUCAUGAAUUCUCAAAGAAUGAGGAGAUGGCUCGUAGAAUCAGCCAUGGCCAUUCCGGGCCAAAGGGAAGAGGCUCGUGAGGAAAACUUAUUCAUGACGAUGUUGUCCGAGAUGGUAGACAGAUUCGAUGACAUGGCCGACUACAUGACCACCAUCUCAUGCACAACCGGCCAUUGACCACUCAACAGAAAGGAGCGCAACAUGCUGUUCCUGGCCUUCAAAUCCCUGGUCAAGCCUCGCAGUGCCUCAUGGCGCAAGAUUAAAGACAUAGAAAGGGUCGAGGAAGAACCCCACUGCUUGGCUAUCAUUACGGAUUAGCUCUCACGAAUCGAGUCCGAGAUCGUUUCCAUCUGUGAGCGUGUCCACCAUCUUCUCAACUCCUACCUCAUUCCAUCUGAGGACUCUGCCAAAGCCAGGGUCUUCUACCGGCAGAUGAAGGCCGACUACUUUGGGUACCUCGCUGAGAUCAAGACCGAUGAACAAAUGCUAAUUGAGGCCUACAAAGCCCACUUGAACUAUGAAGGGGCCAUGGAAACAAACUAUUGGGGCAUAUCUUUCUUAUUUCUUGGUUUUCUUUGCUAUCUAGAUCAAUUUUUGGGGUUUCUUCAUGUCUACUCAAGAAAGUGAGGAGGGUUUGAUCUGGUGUUUGCCUCUCUUCAGAUAAUCACGAUGGCGGAACUGAGACCUGCAAACACCACCAGGCUAGGGGCACCUCUCAAUUUUGCGGUAUUCAAAGCGGAUAUCCUCAAUUCCACCAAAGAGGCUUAUGCUUUGGCUGUAGAGUCGUUCCAAGAGGUCUUAGAGGGGUUGGAUGAGCAUGAAGAUGACCUCGAUGAGAGAGGGUCCAUCACGUACUCCAUUUCCGAUAAUAUAGAACUCUGGACCUCCGACUAAGGUCCAGGAGGUUGAAGGGGAUCACAAUAUCGAAAAGGCCGAAUGGGGGGAAAGUAGUCGAGUUUGUUCUCGGAUUCUCGUGUCCCCGUCCACAAAGAAAACCUAGACGAGCAGCCUUCCAACCCACUAUCUUCCCAAGAAUUCCUUUUUUCAUUUUGGUGCAAAACUGAUUCCAGUCACGACAUGGAUCUGUGUUUCUUUGCUUCAUGUACACGGCAUAAAAAGCAAUUUCUUUCAGUAUGUCGUCAGUGGAAGGGGUUCAUUUCAGUUCGUGGUUAGUUAUCUGUUUUCUUGCGAAGAAUGUUAAGAAAUUUGCACCUCCAAUUCUUUUCUGAGUGACGGAUUUCAAUCCCUUCUUUCUUUUUAGUAUGACGGAUUUUGGAUUGGAUUUAAGAAAAGUGACUCCGAUGAAUAGGCGUGGAAGAGUUGAGGGCACGGGUAUAUGUUAGAGAGAGAGAGGGACUGGAAUGAUUACACAGAAAAAUUAGCUUGAACUUGCCGGGGAAUGCACACACGCCUCAAAUUUGAGAUAUAUCUAAUUUGUACAAUAAUUAUGAAAAUUUAAAUAGACAAUUGUGACCGUAUGAUGAA